GGAGGGUGCAAGCGUUGUCCGGAAUUACUGGGUGUAAAGGGAGCGCAGGCGGACCGGCAAGUUGGAAGUGAAAACUAUGGGCUCAACCCAUAAAUUGCUUUCAAAACUGCUGGCCUUGAGUAGUGCAGAGGUAGGUGGAAUUCCCGGUGUAGCGGUGGAAUGCGUAGAUAUCGGGAGGAACACCAGUGGCGAAGGCGACCUACUGGGCACCAACUGACGCUGAGGCUCGAAAGCAUGGGUAGCAAACAGGAUUAGAUACCCUGGUAGUCCAUGCCGUAAACGAUGAUUACUAGGUGUUGGAGGAUUGACCCCUUCAGUGCCGCAGUUAACACAAUAAGUAAUCCACCUGGGGAGUACGACCGCAAGGUUGAAACUCAAAGGAAUUGACGGGCAGCAGCCGCGGUAAUACGUAGGGGGCAAGCGUUGUCCGGAAUGACUGGGCG
rnacentral:rRNA from 1 species